rnacentral:rRNA from 1 species
UACGUAGGGUGCAAGCGUUGUCCGGAAUUAUUGGGCGUAAAGAGCUCGUAGGCGGUCUGUCGCGUCGGAUGUGAAAACCCAGGGCUCAACCCUGGGCCUGCAUUCGAUACGGGCAGACUAGAGUUCGGUAGGGGAGACUGGAAUUCCUGGUGUAGCGGUGAAAUGCGCAGAUAUCAGGAGGAACACCGGUGGCGAAGGCGGGUCCCUGGGCCGAAACUGACGCUGAGGAGCGAAAGCGUGGGGAGCAACA